rnacentral:rRNA from 1 species
AUUGAACGCUGGCGGCAUGCUUUACACAUGCAAGUCGAACGGUAACAGGGUGCUUGCACCGCUGACGAGUGGCGAACAGGUGAGUAAUGCGUCGGAACGUGCCGAGUAGUGGGGGAUAACGCAUCGAAAGGUGUGCUAAUACCGCAUACGUACUGAGGUAGAAAGUGGGGGACCUUCGGGCCUCACGCUAUUCGAGCGGGCGACGGCUGAUUAGCUAGGUGGUGAGGUAAAGGAUCACCAAGGCGACGAUCAGUAGCGGGUCUGAGAGGAUGAUCCGCCACACUGGGACUGAGACACGGCCCAGACUCCUACGGGAGGCAGCAGUGGGGAAUUUUGGACAAUGGGCGCAAGCCUGAUCCAGCCAUGCCGCGUGUCUGAAGAAGGCCUUCGGGUUGUAAAGGACUUUUGUCCGGGAGCAAAUGCCUGGUGUUAAUAGCACUGGGAGCUGAGAGUACCGGAAGAAUAAGCACCGGCUAACUACGUGCCAGCAGCCGCCGCGGUAA